GCUGGGUGUGGUGGUGCAUGCCUGAAAUCCCAGUGACACGGGAGGCUGAGACAGGAGGAUUGUAAAUUUGAGAUCAGCCUUGGCAACUUAGUGAGAGCCUGUCUCAA
rnacentral:sRNA from 1 species